AGCACCUAAAAGCGUUUUCUUGUCGGCCCAUUAAAUGCUCUUGAAAAUCGUAGAUGUGUGCCAGAGCAAAGCUCAGCUGCAAGUGUUUCUGUGUUCUUCCAUAACAGAAUUCCAUACCGCUGACUAUAAAU